GGACGCAGUUUUACGCACUUACA
rnacentral:miRNA from 9 species